AUGCUCUUAGUGGUCAUUCUACUGCUUGGAAUGUUCUUCACACUGAAGUUUGAUGUUGCAGGAGGAACCAGAGCCCAGUCGGUGACCCAGCUUGAUGGCCACAUCAUUGUCUCUGAAAGAGACCCUCUGGAACUGAAGUGCAACUAUUCCUAUAGUGGAAUUCCUUCUCUCUUCUGGUAUGUCCAAUACCCCAGCCAAAACCUUGAGCUUCUCCUCAAGGACCUAUCAGGGGCCACCCAGGUUAAAGGCAUCAAAGGUUUUGAGGCUGAAUUUAAGAAGAGCGAAACCUCCUUCUACCUGAGGAAGCCAUCAGCCCAUGUGAGCGAUGCUGCUGAGUACUUCUGUGCUGUGAGUGACACAGUGCCUGGGACUGCAGGAGGAGCUGAACACAAACUUCCUGAGACACUGAGGUCUUCAGCAACUCAAGGGCACAGCCUGACCUGUUUGUAG